rnacentral:tRNA from 14 species
GCGGGAAUAGCUCAGUUGGUAGAGCACGACCUUGCCAAGGUCGGAGUCGCGAGUUCGAGUCUCGUUUCCCGCUCCA